GGAUUGUGGGUAAUGGAGUACUUAUCCAAGACAUUGCGAAUACAAGAGGUUUAUUUCAAAACAAGGUUGGUGCCCCAUGAACUUUUGGCAUCUAUAUGAGCAUAUAGAAUCUCUUAGUCGUGUCGUAGCUGGUUUUAAGUCUACCAUUAACGGUUACAAUUUUAUGACUUAUACUCCA